rnacentral:rRNA from 1 species
ACAGUCUUCUGCAAAUGAGCCCCAUUGAUGAAAACGCCAUUCAAGCGCUCAAGAGUGAAUUAAACCCCUCUCGCCCAUCAUCGGAGCUGAUUGCUUCUGCCUCCAACCUCCUGACCCAAGUGACAUGUUGAAGGCAUGAUAUCGAAAGAGGCGAACCCGCUGAACUGAAACAUCUAAGUAGGCGGAGGAAGAGAAAACAAUAGUGAUUCCGUUAGUAGUGGCGAGCGAACGCGGAAGAGCCCAAACCAGGUUUGUUUCGGCAAAUCUGGGGUUGUAGGACCACGACAUUCUUUGUUAACUGAACUGGAAGCAUCUGGAAAGUUGCACGAUAGGGGUGAUAGUCCCGUACAGGUAAGGUUGAUAAAAGAUAGUGGUAUCCUGAGUAGCGCGGGGCACGUGAAACCUUGUGUGAAUCUAGCAGGACCAUCUGCUAAGGCUAAAUACUCUUGAGAGACCGAUAGUGAACUAGUACCGUGAGGGAAAGGUGAAAAGAACCCUGAAUAAGGGAGUGAAAUAGACCCUGAAACCAUACGCUUACAAGCGGUCGGAGCCUUCGGGUGACGGCGUGCCUUUUGCAUAAUGAGCCUACGAGUUACCGUUACUGGCAAGGUUAAGGAUUUAAGAUCUGGAGCCGUAGCGAAAGCGAGUCUGAAUAGGGCGCUUUAGUCAGUAGUGGUAGACGCGAAACCGUGUGAUCUACCCAUGGGCAGGUUGAAGCUGUGGUAACACACAGUGGAGGACCGAACCCGUUGACGUUGAAAAGUCUUGGGAUGACCUGUGGGUAGGGGUGAAAGGCCAAUCAAACUCGGAAAUAGCUCGUACUCCCCGAAAUGCAUUUAGGUGCAGCGUUGCGAUAGUUUUAUAGAGGUAGAGCUACUGAUUGGAUGCGGGGGCUUCACCGCCUACCAAUUUCUGACAAACUCCGAAUGCUAUAAAAUGAUUUGCAGCAGUGAGGGCAUGGGUGCUAAGGUCCAUGUCCGAGAGGGAAAGAACCCAGACCAUCAGCUAAGGUCCCAAAAUAUGUGUUAAGUUGACAAAACGCGGUGAAACUGCAUAGACAGCCAGGAUGUUGGCUUGGAAGCAGCCAUUCAUUUAAAGAGUGCGUAACAGCUCACUGGUCGAGCGGUUUUGCAUGGAUAAUAAUCGGGCAUAAACACAUUACCGAAGCUAUGGACGAGAGUGGUAGGGGAGCAUUCUAAUUGCGUUGAAGGUGUAUCGUGAGGUAUGCUGGAGCGGUUAGAAAAGAAAAUGUAGGCAUAAGUAACGAUAAGUGGGGCGAGAAACCCCACCGCCGAAAGACUAAGGUUUCCCCAGCUAUGCUAAUCAGCUGGGGGUCAGUCGGGACCUAACGCGAACCCGAAAGGGGUAGUGGAUGGACAAACGGUUAAUAUUCCGUUACCUCCUUAUAAAUAAAAGUGACGGAGAAGAGUGGUUACUGCGCACUGACGGAAUAGUGCGUUGAAGCUUCGGCGAUAGUACAGAACGACUUCGGUCUGACUGAUAAUGUAGCGAAUCUUCUUCCAAGAAAAGCGAUAUAAGGAGCCCGUACCGUAAACCGACACAGGUAGUUGGGAUGAGUAUUCUAAGGCGCUCGAGUGAUUCAUGGCUAAGGAACUAGGCAAAAUCGACCCGUAACUUCGGGAGAAGGGUCGCCUGCUUCGGCAGGCCGCAGUGAAAAGGUCCAGGCGACUGUUUAUCAAAAACACAGGGCUAUGCUAAGUUGAAAGACGAUGUAUAUGGCCUGACACCUGCCCGGUGCUGGAAGGUUAAAGGGAGAUGUUAGCUUCGGUGAAGCAUUGAACUGAAGCCCCAGUAAACGGCGGCCGUAACUAUAACGGUCCUAAGGUAGCGAAAUUCCUUGUCGGGUAAGUUCCGACCUGCACGAAUGGUGCAACGAUCUGGACACUGUCUCGGCCAUGAGCUCGGUGAAAUUGUAGUAUCGGUGAAGAUGCCGAUUACCCGCAGUGGGACGAAAAGACCCCGUGCACCUUUACUAUAGCUUCGUAUUGACCCUGGGCAAGGGAUGUGUAGGAUAGCUGGGAGACUAUGAACCUGAUUCGCUAGGAUUGGGGGAGUCGUUGUUGAAAUACCAGCCUUCGUUUGUCCGGGGCCUAACCUCGAAAGGGGAACAGUGCGUGGUGGGUAGUUUGACUGGGGUGGUCGCCUCCAAAAGAGUAACGGAGGCUUCUAA